rnacentral:rRNA from 1 species
AUUGAACGCUGGCGGCAGGCUUAACACAUGCAAGUCGAGCGGGGUGAUGGUGCUUGCACUAUCACUUAGCGGCGGACGGGUGAGUAAUGCUUAGGAAUCUGCCUAUUAGUGGGGGACAACAUCUCGAAAGGGAUGCUAAUACCGCAUACGUCCUACGGGAGAAAGCAGGGGAUCACUUGUGACCUUGCGCUAAUAGAUGAGCCUAAGUCGGAGUAGCUAGUUGGUGGGGUAAAGGCCUACCAAGGCGACGUUCUGUAGCGGGUCUGAGAGGAUGAUCCGCCCCACUGGGACUGAGACACGGCCCAGACUCCUACGGGAGGCAGCAGUGGGGAAUAUUGGACAAUGGGGGGAACCCUGAUCCAGCCAUGCCGCGUGUGUGAAGAAGGCCUUAUGGUUGUAAAGCACUUUAAGCGAGGAGGAGGCUCUUUUGGUUAAUACCCAAGAUGAGUGGACGUUACUCGCAGAAUAAGCACCGGCUAACUCUGUGCCAGCCGCCGCCGUAA